rnacentral:rRNA from 1 species
AUUGAACGCUGGCGGCAUGCCUUACACAUGCAAGUCGAACGGUAACGGGCCUUCGGGUGCCGACGAGUGGCGAACGGGUGAGUAAUGUAUCGGAACGUACCUUUCAGUGGGGGAUAACGUAGCGAAAGGUACGCUAAUACCGCCUAUUCUGUGCGCCGGAAAGCAGGGGAUCGCCAGACCUUGCGCUGGUUGCGCGGGCGAUAUCAGAUUAGCUAGUUGGCGAGGUAAAGGCUCAACAAGGCGACGAUCUGUAGCGGGUCUGAGAGGAUGAUCCGCCACACUGGAACUGAGACACGGUCCAGACUCCUACGGGAGGCAGCAGUGGGGAAUUUUGGACAAUGGGGGCAACCCUGAUCCAGCCAUGCCGCGUGAGUGAAGAAGGCCUUCGGGUUGUAAAGCUCUUUCGGCCGGGAAGAAAUCGUAUCAGCUAAUACCUGGUGCGGAUGACGGUACCGGCAUAAGAAGCACCGGCUAACUACGUGCCAGCCGCCGCGGUAAUAC